rfam:Asian citrus Psyllid, Diaphorina citri - Florida Strain, whole genome shotgun sequence.
GCCAGGGGCUAUAGUGCAUUGGAUGCACCAGUUACCAAGAGACUACUUAAGUUAUGCAACGUUGUGCGUGUUUGGUAUCCAAACGGGUGACUGUCUGGGACAUCACGUAUUUCGGGUU